rnacentral:lncRNA from 1 species
UCAAAAUUCAAUAAAUAUUCAUAAGGUCAAAGGUCAAGGUCAUCAAUGACCUUUGACCUUUGGACAAAUUAUUGGUAAUUAAAUUGCCAAUAGUUUGCACAUCAUAGUCAUUCAAUAAUAUUUACUUUUUGUGGAUUAUUUUAAUUAAAUGGCUAAAUUUUAGAGGUAAAAAGGCAAAAAUGACACAUUUCUGUUUCCAUAGCAACCAUCCUAGAACCUAAUUUCCCAAACAUUUUGUUAUAAUUUUUUUGAUGAGAAACAUCGAUACUUUUCAUUCAUAACCACAGGUUAAAUGGAGGUGGAUGCAAACAUGUCUAUUUUCUUCAUACAAAAUGUGUAAAAUUUGUAUUCUGAACUAUAUUGAAAAAUGACCUCUGCUUCUGCAGUUGUGACAAUAUUCAGCCCUAAUAUUUUUGUAUAUAUGACAUUGCUAUUUGUUUGUUAAGUUUCAUGUUUCUAAAAAAUAUUUACAAAUAUCAUUAAAUAAAACCUAGUUUUGAUUACGAAUGACUGCAAAGUAGUAGUUUUUUCGAUGCUAAAUUCUUCAAAAUUUGCGGGAAAUCUCAUUCACUUGGUUGCCAUGGCAACCAUGACCUAGCAACAUUUGGAUGGACAUUUUUCUUACUUUUUUACAUGAUCAC